UACGGAGGGAGCAAGCGUUACUCGGAAUUAUUGGGCGUAAAGGGCGCGUAGGCGAUUUGACAUGUCUUAUGUGAAAGCCCAGAGCUUAACUCUGGAAGUGCAUAAGAAACUGUUGAAUUUGAGUACAGGAGAGGAAGGCAGAAUUCCCGGUGUAGCGGUGAAAUGCGUAGAUAUCGGGAGGAAUACCAGUGGCGAAGGCGGCCUUCUGGACUGUAACUGACGCUGAGGCGCGAAAGCUAGGGGAGCAAACGGGAUUAGAUACCCCGGUAGUCCUAGCCGUAAACGAUGUGCACUUGGUGUGAGCCCAUUUUGGGUUUGUGCCGAAGUUAACGCAAUAAGUGCACCGCCUGGGGAGUACGGUCGCAAGGCUGAA
rnacentral:rRNA from 1 species